rnacentral:rRNA from 1 species
UACGAAGGGGGCUAGCGUUGCUCGGAAUUACUGGGCGUAAAGGGCGCGUAGGCGGAUAUCUAAGUUGGGGGUGAAAUCCCGGGGCUCAACCUCGGAAUUGCCUUCAAAACUGGAUAUCUUGAGUUCGGGAGAGGUGAGUGGAACUCCGAGUGUAGAGGUGAAAUUCGUAGAUAUUCGGAAGAACACCAGUGGCGAAGGCGACUCACUGGCCCGAUACUGACGCUGAGGCGCGAAAGCUAGGGGAGCGAACGGG